rnacentral:rRNA from 1 species
UGGGGAAUUUUGGACAAUGGGCGCAAGCCUGAUCCAGCCAUGCCGCGUGUCUGAAGAAGGCCUUCGGGUUGUAAAGGACUUUUGUCAGGGAAGAAAAGGCUGUUGCUAAUAUCAGCGGCUGAUGACGGUACCUGAAGAAUAAGCACCGGCUAACUACGUGCCAGCAGCCGCGGUAAUACGUAGGGUGCAAGCGUUAAUCGGAAUUACUAGGCGUAAAGCGAGCGCAGACGGUUACUUAAGCAGGAUGUGAAAUCCCCGGGCUCAACCUGGGAACUGCGUUCUGAACUGGGUGACUAGAGUGUGUCAGAGGGAGGUAGAAUUCCACGUGUAGCAGUGAAAUGCGUAGAGAUGUGGAGGAAUACCGAUGGCGAAGGCAGCCUCCUGGGAUAACACUGACGUUCAUGCUCGAAAGCGUGGGUAGCAAACAGGAUUAGAUACCCUGGUAGUCCACGCCCUAAACGAUGUCAAUUAGCUGUUGGGCAACUUGAUUGUUCAGUAGCGUAGCUAACGCGUGAAAUUGACCGCCUGGGGAGUACGGUCGCAAGAUUA